AUCUGUUAAUGAAUGAGGCAGUAAAAUUCAAAAACAUUAUGUUUCUGGCUUCCAUACCAUGGAAAAGAAUAUGAGCAUCAUAGAAACCUUACUGUGACAACCCAUUAUCUUAUUGAGCACUGUUAUACAACCGAUAUAACACAUUAUACAUCUCUAACAAAUGCAUAUCCAAGAAAUCUUGAACCAAUGCCAUACCUGCCAAAGUAACUGGGAGAGAA
rnacentral:misc_RNA from 1 species